UACAGAGGUCCCAAGCGUUGUUCGGAUUCACUGGGCGUAAAGGGUGCGUAGGUGGUGAGGUAAGUCGGAUGUGAAAGCUCGGAGCUCAACUCCGAAAUGGCAUUGGAAACUACCUUGCUCGAGGGUUGGAGGGGGGACUGGAAUGCUUGGUGUAGCAGUGAAAUGCGUAGAUAUCAGGAAGAACACCCGUGGCGAAGGCGGCUCUCUGGGACGGUACUGACGCUGAGACGCGAAAGCGUGGGGAGCGAACAGG
rnacentral:rRNA from 1 species